CAGCUGCAGCGAAAAGACAACAGAGCCAUGGGUGCCGAGGGCGGGCACUGGUGGUCGGCAGAAGGCGCUGUGGAGGUGCUCGCUGCUGCCCGGCUCUACUUGCACGCCACCAGGCACGGGAAUGAGUUUGCACCUACUGUUGGAUUCUUCCUUACUACCCACCCGUCUUAGGAAAACACAUACUCUAAAGCAGUAAAACGUUUCGAGUUCUAUGAUCAGCUUGAACAAUACAAUUUGGAUUCUUUUGGAGACUGGGAACAACUUUCAAGCUACUUGUCACAAAGUUUCAUUGAACGCCUUGAGCCAACUGGUGGAGAAAUUACAAUUGCAUUGGAGACAUCAUGGUUGGAUAGAGCUCCCCAAACAGAUAUGGAGAGAUGAUUGAUAGAACAACUUAGAGAAGACAAAUUUGCAAAGAAAGGGCUUGUACAGCCCGAGAGGAGAGGAUGCUAUUACACAACUAUCCCCGCUUCAGUUAAGCACAGAAACACUGCUGCGGAUGAGGCGGGUGUGGAGGUCGCAGAGGAGGAUGGGGACGUGCUCACGAAGCCCUAGAGAAACAUGAGCUCAUGGGUGCCGACCUCCAUCACCCCCCUGAUGCUAUGCAGAGUGAAGGCGAAGAGCUAGCGGGGAGGACACCAACUGCCUCUUCAUAAAUUUACUCUGCGUCAUCGUUCAUGUGGACGAGGCCGGAAGAACCGAAGGUGUUGGCGGAAUUUGAGGAGGACGAGACGACAGGGAUGAUGAUGGCAUCAUUGUUGUUUGUAAUUGAGAGCAUCACGGUGGUGGGUACUGCGUGUGGGGGAGGAAGGAGGUGAGUCGGCUGGGUGCACUCCUACUGGUGCUAUCGAUGGCGGCACUAUGCUUCAGCCUUGUAGCGGCAAUGUUGGAGGCAACGAAUGGUAGUGUGCUAUUGCUGGCAUGGUUUAGAUUCUGCCAGCCACUGGGUGCACAACUAGGUGACAUUCCUGGAAGGGAUGUGCUACAUGCCCGACUGUGAUGACGAUCGCGUCUACUACGUAUGUUUCAUCACUGCAGCGGUUCGAGCACAUUGACCGAUUCAACCCCAAUGAUCACUAUGCCAAGCCCAACCUCGUCUUCUUCAUACUUGUGUGCCCUUUAGGGUCCCAUGUAUGUCUGGCACGAGUUGCAUAUAGGUUCAGUCAGCCUACAGCGUGCCUACGUGCACCAGUGUUGGAUUGGAGGAAGGUCAAGUUGUUCGAGAAAGCCCAACCAUGGGGAACAAGACACAUAAGGAGAGUGACCAAUGAGAGGAUGACCAUAACCAUUUUGGUGACAAAAAUUAUUUGGAGUUGAUGCUUUCUUUUCUUCUCUAUGCACAGAGUGUUUACUUUCUUGAGCUAUAGUUUUGGAUUGUCAGCAUUUGACCCAUGUUAAGGCAAAAAAAUUGUCCCA